AUUGAACGCUGGCGGCAUGCCUUACACAUGCAAGUCGAACGGCAGCACGGGAGCAAUCCUGGUGGCGAGUGGCGAACGGGUGAGUAAUAUAUCGGAACGUGCCCAGUCGUGGGGGAUAACGUAGCGAAAGUUACGCUAAUACCGCAUACGAUCUAAGGAUGAAAGCGGGGGAUCGCAAGACCUCGCGCGAUUGGAGCGGCCGAUAUCAGAUUAGGUAGUUGGUGAGGUAAAGGCUCACCAAGCCAACGAUCUGUAGCUGGUCUGAGAGGACGACCAGCCACACUGGAACUGAGACACGGUCCAGACUCCUACGGGAGGCAGCAGUGGGAAUUUUGGACAAUGGACGCAAGUCUGAUCCAGCCAUUCCGCGUGCAGGAUGAAGGCCCUCGGGUUGUAAACUGCUUUUGUACGGAACGAAACGGUGAGCUCUAAUACAGUUGCUAAUGACGGUACCAUAAGAAUAAG
rnacentral:rRNA from 1 species